rnacentral:rRNA from 1 species
AUUGAACGCUGGCGGCAGGCCUAACACAUGCAAGUCGAACGAGUGGCGGACGUGUGAGUAAUGACUGGGAAACUGCUUGAGGGAGGGGGAUAACUAAUGGAAACGGUAGCUACUUCCGCCUACAUUAAGAUGUGCCGAGAUGGGAUUAGCUAGUGGGUGGGGUAACGGCUCACCAAGGCGACGAUCCCUAGCUGGUCUGAGAGGAUGACCAGCCACACUGGAACUUAGACACGGUCCAGACUCCUACGGGAGGCAGCAGUGGGGAAUAUUGCACAAUGGGCGCAAGCCUGAUGCAGCCAUGCCGCGUGUGUGAAGAAGGCCUUCGGGUUGUAAAGUACUUUCAGCGGGGAGGCGUUACCCGCAGAAGAAGCACCGGCUAACUCCGUGCCAGCAGCCGCGGUAAUAC